GACGAAGGAUGCAAGCGUUAUCCGGAUUCAUUGGGUUUAAAGGGUGCGUAGGCGGCCCUGUAAGUCAGUGCUGAAAUACCCCGGCUUAACCGGGGGGGUGGCAUUGAUACUGCAGGGCUUGAGUACAGAUGAGGUAGGCGGAAUUGACGGUGUAGCGGUGAAAUGCAUAGAUAUCGUCAAGAACACCGAUAGCGAAGGCAGCUUACUGGGCUGUAACUGACGCUGAUGCACGAAAGUGUGGGGAUCAAACAGG
rnacentral:rRNA from 1 species